rnacentral:rRNA from 1 species
AUUGAACGCUGGCGGCAUGCUUUACACAUGUAAGUAGGACGAGUGGCGAACGGGUGAGUAACGCAUCGGAACGUACAGAGGAAUGGGGGAUAACUGUACGAAAGGACAGCUAAUACCGCAUAUUAUUCGAGCGGACGAGGUCUGAGUAGCUGGGUGGCGGGGUAAAGGCCCACCAAGGCGACGAUCAGUAGGGGGUCUGAGAGGAAGAGCGGCCAUACUGGGACUGAGAAACGGCCCCGACUCCUACGGGAGGUAGCAGUGGGGAAUAUUGCACAAUGGGCGCAAGCCUGAUGCAGCCAUGCCGCGUGUGUGAAGAAGGCCUUCGGGUUGUAAAGCACUUUCAGCGAGGAGGCGUUACUCGCAGAAGAAGCACCGUCUAACUCCGUGCCAGCAGCCGCGGUAAUAC